rnacentral:rRNA from 1 species
UACGUAGGGCGCAAGCGUUGUCCGGAAUUAUUGGGCGUAAAGAGCUCGUAGGCGCCUGUUACGUCUGCUGUGAAAUCCCGGGGCUUAACCCCGGGCGUGCAGUGGAUACGGGCAGACUUGAGGCAUUGAGGGGAGAACGGAAUUCCUGGUGUAGCGGUGAAAUGCGCAGAUAUCAGGAGGAACACCGGUGGCGAAGGCGGUUCUCUGGGCAAUGUUCUGACGCUGAGGAGCGAAAGUGUGGGGAGCGAACAGG